AGUGAACGCUGGCGGUAGGCCUAACACAUGCAAGUCGAACGGCAGCACAGUAAUAGCUUGCUCUUACGGGUGGCGAGUGGCGGACGGGUGAUGAAUAAAUCGGAAUCUACGUUUGCGUGGGGGAUAACGUAGGGAAACUUACGCUAAUACCGCAUACGGACUACGGGUGAAAGCAGGGGAUCUUCGGACCUUGCGCGAUUGAAGGAGCCGAUGUCGGAUUAGCUAGUUGGCGGGGUAAAGGCCCACCAAGGCGACGAUCCGUAGCUGGUCUGAGAGGAUGAUCAGCCACACUGGAACUGAGACACGGUCCAGACUCCUACGGGAGGCAGCAGUGGGGAAUAUUGGACAAUGGGCGAAAGCCUGAUCCAGCCAUACCGCGUGGGUGAAGAAGGCCUUCGGGUUGUAAAGCCCUUUUGUUGGGAAAGAAAAGCAGCAGGUUAAUACCCCGCUGUUCUGACGGUACCCAAAGAAUAAGCACCGGCUAACUUCGUG
rnacentral:rRNA from 1 species